GGAGGACAAUGAUAUGGCACAUGGGAUUCCCUUUGUCAUCCUAUGCCUGGGAAUAAUGGAGAGGCAGGGACAGCAAAGGGAUGCUCAAUUGUCAUCUCCUAC